rnacentral:rRNA from 1 species
CCAAUAGCGUAUAUUAAAGUUGUUGCAGUUAAAAAGCUCGUAGUUGAAUUUCAGGCCUGGCUGGACGGUCCGCCCUUCGGGUGAGUACUGUCUGUGGUCGGGUCCUACCUUCUGGCGAAGCGUCAUGGCCUUAACCGGCCGUGGCGGGGAACCAGGACUUUUACUGUGAAAAAAUUAGAGUGUUCAAAGCAGGCAAUCGCUUGGAUACAUUAGCAUGGAAUAAUGGAAUAGGACAUCCGAUUCUAUUUUGUUGGUUUCUAGGAUCGAUGUAAUGAUUAAUAGGGAUAGUUGGGGGCAUUAGUAUUCAAUUGUCAGAGGUGAAAUUCUUGGGUUUAUUGAAGACUAACUACUGCGAAAGCAUUUGCCAAGGAUGUUUUCAUUAAUCAAGAACGAAAGUUAGGGGAUCGAAGACGAUCAGAUACCGUCGUAGUCUUAACCAUAAACUAUGCCGACUAGGGAUCGGAUGAUGUUAAUUUUUUAAUGACUCAUUCGGCGCCUUACG